AACCCUGGACAUUAGUCGUGAAGAGGAUUGAAAUAUAAUAAUACAAUCGUAUCUGAUGGAAUGUCUAUCUUGCAAAUUUAUAACUAAUUGGACAGAGUCCCUUCACAGAUGAGUUCUAACUAUGUGAUUAUUAUAAAAACACAGUUGUCUGAGUGGCACAAUUUAGCUCCUUAGUGAUUUUGAUCAAUUUUACACCUUCACCUCGAGUCAAAGACUUUUCUUAAACACUCGUCAAGCUCUACUUGCCACUCUGUUGAUGGGCUGACAGCUAAAAAUUUCAAAUAAUAAAGAACUCGACGACUUGGAAAGAUUCAAGUAACACGACACAAUAACCAAAAAGGAUUACUACUGGUAUAAGUGGAUGAAUGGACAAAAGAAUACUUACAUACUUGAAAGAUGAAAUUUUCUUAAAUUAUACAAUAGCCGGUCCCAAAAGGAAAAAGAAAUAACCUAGGAAAAGCUAAAAAGUAUUCCCAACCCAAAACUUAGUAGAAACAACAUUUGGCUCGACGGAGAAGGGCCACGUGUGAAAAGGAAAAACUAUUGCUUUUACUAAGUAAGAAAUAAGAUCUGAUUGGUGGAGUGGCUUCUUCCACUACAAGCCAAAAAGGUAUGAAAAAGACACUUUAACUAGAGGAAAUGUGAUAAGCAUGAUUGGUCUGUGUUAAAUGUUUUUAGGAAUAGUGACUUAAACUUCACCCUUGUCUAAGGAAACUCCCCUCUCUCUCUCUCUCUCCCCCUCUUGUGUUUCUUAUUUCACUCCAUUCUUUCUUUAACCUACCAUAUACCACACCCGCUCUCGAAAUGCAGUGGCUGCAGUCCCUCUUCUCUCCGUUGAAGAAGCUGUGGAUUCGUCUGCACUCUGCUCAAAAAAAGAGUAGAGGGAUAUAUAUACUGUACGAGGAUGUCAAGUCCUGCCACUAUGAAGAUGUGCAUGUUCUUUGGUCCAUAUUAGUGGAAUCACAUCCACGGGCAUUGCCACCAUCCAAAUGAUGUUCCCACAUACAAACACACACACACACACACAACAGGAAAUGGGAGACUUACAGCCAUGUAUAUAAGAUAGUAACUUCUCCCAAAUUUAAGUUUUGUUUUCACAUUUUCGUUUUCAAUUUCUUGUGAGUGCGCUUAUAGAGUGUAAUAAAUUAUUGAUGUAAUGAUCGCAGAAACAUGAAUAGUCAAUAUCACAGAAAAAAGCAUUGCCUUCAUAAGAAGCUCAAGUAAGACCUAUCAAUUCACUACUUUUCUGGGAAGACAUGUAGUCUUGAGUGUAAAGUAAUUAUUUUCUAACUUUAUGUGGCUUCUUGUUGAGAUAUCGGUUUCCGGAUGUUGAGAUAGCAGUUAUAUAGGUUCUUCACACCUUUCAGAAGUUAACAAAGGUUUAAGUCAUGAAAGCUAUUGAAUGGAAGAAAAACUUAAAUGAUUUUGA